GACUCGUUCUGAUGCGGAAUCUGAAGCACCUGGUGCUUCUCAGAAGUCACUGAGAGGAAAAGGAAAUUAAAUGGAAUUUAAUUUAAAUUAAAAGAAUGAUAAGAAAAAAAAGAAAAGAGUUGCUGGCCCAGGGCUCCAUAUCCAGCAAAGCCUUUUUAGCAUGAAGACAAAUUAAACACAUUGCUAAAUGAGGAAAAUGAUAAGACUUCAUUGCUCUAGCAGCAGAAGUAGAGAAGGUUCCUCAGGUCAGCGUGGGCCUGAGGACAGCGCAGAAGGAUGGAAGAGCAUCCCAGCAAGAAGUGCAUGGAAGCAGAGCAGCCCGGGCUGCAGGCGUGUGGCCGCUGACAGCAGAGGCUCUCGUGUGGGUGCACAGAAGACUCAGUGUGCAGGGCAGUGCAGAGGAAGGGGAAAGAGUGGGCAGAGCAGGACAGUGACCUUUCUAAGUAGUCAAGGUAUGCGUAGUUCCUGUAACCCAUAGCCAUUGAAAGACAGAGACAACAAUGUGAGAUCAAAAAACCUAGAGAUAAAAACGAAACAAAACGCAUUGUGAAGCAGUACUUAAAUAAUCGAAAGCUCUUUAUUGAAAAUAUUCAAAAACAGAACAAAAAGGAAAAAGCCUGACACUUAAACAGAAAAUAGUAAAAUGUCAUAAAUCCAAACACAUAAAUCCAAAACUGUGUUUGCAGUAACUGUUAAUGUCUAAAGAGACAUUUAAAGCAGUGGUGUCGUUACAGAGCAAAAGCUGCGCUGUACAGUAUGCGCAAGUCUAUACCACGACAAGGUCAGCACCAAACGAUGUCCAUGCAGACAUCGAGGCUAGCAUGGCUGUGAUGGCAUCAGGAUGUGGCUGUGGCUGCACCACCCUGAAUGAAGCAGAUGUGACCUGCCUGGGUCAGAGCAGACCUCAGCAAAGACAGAGAGGGUGGAGAGACAGUGACAAAGCGCCUGCAUAGGCACUGGCAGCACUCCAGGUCACAUACCCCGGUGUCCACAGACCCAAAGGCGAGCCUCCAAGGAGGCGGCAGGCAGAGACACCUGCCACCCUGAGUUCCAGCCUCAGGUCCCACCUGGUGGAAGGGGAGGACUGACUCUUGAUGUCUUCCACCCUGCACGUGCAUGCCUUGACGCACAUGCGUCCACAUGCAUCCGCAUGCACAAAGUACAUGAACCCUGCCUGGGGAGCUGAAAGGAAGGUGAGAAUGCAGUACUUAAACGCAGACUCCACACACGGCUCUGUAAGUUCACCUUCAGCAAGGUGAGCCAUGUUCUGAAUGAUAAACCUUAGCAACUCCAAAGAAUUUAAACUUCCUCAAAGUUUAUUCUCUGACUAAUAAAACUAAGCUAGAAAUUUAUGAAAAUCAAAAUUUUCAAUCACCUAGAAGCUUAGCAACACAUUUUUAAGUCAUCCAUGGGUCUCAAAAGAAAAUCUCAAGGGAAAUUAGUGUCAUACAUAUUAUGUAUCUGGGGCUGGAUAGUUGUUUUGAAAGGAUAGCAUGUGGUAGCCCAAGCUAGCCUCAGACUUACCACAGUCCUUCCUCAGUCUUCCAAGUGCUGGAAUUACAUGUGUGUAUUACCAUGCCUGGAUCAAAGGUAUUUUCAACUAAAUGAAAAUGAAAAUACAGUAUCAAAAGCUGCAGUAUUAACUAGGCCUGGUGGUACAUACCAUCAAUCCCAUCACUUGGGAUGCCUGUGAAUUCAGAGCCAGUCUAGUGCACAUAGUGUGUGCCAGGCCAACCAGGGAUACAUAGUGAGACCGUCUCAGAAACAGAAAGGGGAUGGGGGAAACUUUAUGGAGUUUAUUUAACACAGUCUUUUGCAGGAAGUUUAUAGCAUUAAAUACUUGGAUAUGAAAAAAGUAUAACUCUCAAAUCAAUCUUCAGUAGAAACAAUGCGAAGAUAAUAAUACAACCAUGUUUAAAGAUGUAUUUAUUUCAUGUAUGAGUGCUCUUUCUGUACGUACACCCACAUGCCAGAAAAGGGCAUCAGAUCCCAUUACAGAUGGUUGUGAGCCACCAUUUGGUUGCUAGAAAUUGAACUCAGGACCUCUGGAAGAGCAACUAGUGCUCUUAACCACUGAGUCAUCUUUCCAGCCCCAUAUAUGAGUUUAUAUGUAUAUUCCUUUGCAUACUUAAACACACUUCCUCCCCAGCCCUGUAAAAUUGUAUUUUUCAAGAAUUUCAAUUUGUACCUCAACACAUCCCAUUAAUGAAAAUGUCAGGUUCAAGAAAUAGGAAGAAGGGCUAGAGAGAUGGCUCAGCAGUUAAGAGCACUGACUGCUCUUCCAGAGGACCUGGGUUCAAUUCUCAGCAACCACAUGGCAGAUUACAGCUGUGUGUAACUCCAGUUCCAGGAGACAGACACCCUCACACAGACAUGCAUGCAGACAGAACACCAAUGCUCAUGAAAUAAAAAUGAAUAAAUUAAAAAAAAUAGGAAGAGGGGCUGGAGAGAUGGCUUAGCACCAGCAUCCACAUGGCAGCCAGUUUCUGAGGAGUAUGCCUGCUUUUCUGCCCUCUGUGGGGGCAUCAGGCACAUAAGAGUGCACAGAUGUGUACAAGCAAAAGACAACAAAAUAAAUCUCUUCAGGAGAGAGAAUAAGAACAGAGAGAGUGCUGUGGUUUUGUGUAAGUGGGUUAGUGGGGUACCAAACCCAGCAAGAGGGAAGAGGAAAGGUGGGUAUGGGGGGGUUCCCCAUACACAGAAAAGUCCUCAGCGAACAGUAAAUCCAGCAAUAUGUAAAAUGGAGAAAUGCGCCAUAACCAGUGGAACACAACUAACUGAAGUCAGUCACUGUGACUGGGGCGAAGGCGCGGGCGUCAGAGACCUGCUGCUCUCACAGAGGACCCAGGUUCAGUUCCCAGCACCCACAAGUUGGCUCACAGCCAUCUGUAAUUCCAGUUUCAGGGGAUGUGGCACCAUCUUGGGCACCAGGUACAUAUGUGGUCCGCAUACAUACAGGCAAACACUCAUAUACAUAAACUUUUUAAAAAUUUUUAAAAGAAAAUCAGUUAAUGUAGUUCAGGGCAUUAGUGAACUAAAAGGCAGCAUACUCAGAUAAUAAUUUCAAGAAGAUAAUUACAAACGCUAAAGCUAUAAACUAAGGAGGGGCUGUGAUCUUGGAAUAAGUUCUUAGAUACGUGUUGUUAGAUUAAUUCUGUUUCUGUUUCUGUGAGCAGCUCACUCGCCUAUACCCUGCUGACUUCAGACUCAUGCUGCCCUCUUUGCCCCACCCGCAAGUCCUGGAUUAGAGGUGUGCAGCAUCACCCCAGCUUCAGAACCCCAAGCUCCUGCUCUAAAGAACUGACCAGGUUGGAAAGAGAAGUAGGGAGGAAGUAUUUGCCUUUAAUCUCAGCACUUGGGAGGCAGAGCCAGGAGGACCAGGACAGCCAGAGCUACACAGAGAAACCUGUCUAAACAGGAUGGUGUGUGGGGUCUGAGGAGCUGGCUUGGUAGUCCAGAGCAUUUGCUGCUCUCGGAGAGGACCUGGAUUCUGUUCCCAGCACCCACAUGCUGGCUCAGGACUGCUUACAACUCCAGUUCCUAGAGAGCCGUUGCCCUUAGGCCUCUGUGGGCACAAAGCACACAUGUGGUGUGCAGACAUACAUGCAGGGAAAACCGGCAUAUACAUAAACAAAUUUUAAGAAGAAGAAAUGAAACAGGAUCUCAUGCAACCUAGGCUGGUCUCUAAAGUUGCUGUGAUUGUAGAUGACCUUGACCUUAGAUCAUCCACCUAAGGGCUAGGGUUAUUGGUAUGCAAUACCAUGCCUGUGCGUGUGUUUACACUCGAAGUAGCAUAGCAUACUCAAGUCAAUUCUCUCCAUUUUCUUGAGCUUGAAUCUUGUCUCUGCACUGUACUCCAGCCUAGCUGACCCAUGACAGGCAGUCUCCUGUCUCCACUUCCCAUCUCCCCGAGGGAGUGCUGGGAUGCAGGUGUUUGCCACCGCAGCUGACUUUAGCAGCCGGAGGGUUUGCCUAUUGAGCCGUCUCCAGGCUCUGGUACAUUUCCUCUGCCCUAGAGUUCAAGACCAUCU
rnacentral:lncRNA from 1 species